UUAUAAAAGCAAUUGGAAUGAUAAAUUAUUGCAAUAUUCUUAUGAUAGAUGCACCAUGGCAUUCAAUCUUCUACAUAUCCAUACUAGCCAAAGUCUAAUUAAAACUAAUAUGUGUGUCCAUUACUUUAAUACUAGUGUUGAGGUGUGGAAGUCACCAACCAAAGUGAAAUAACCCAAACAAACAGAUAAGAGUACCUUAUCAUCACUGGAG
rnacentral:misc_RNA from 1 species